CAUACCUUUACUUACCAGCAAAUACCCUAAGGGGAAAAAAGUGAAUCAAGUGUAGGAGCGCAAACUGCAGGUAUAGUUAAACUUACAGCAAGAGGUGUUUGCAAAUGAACAGCUUAGCCAUAGAAUACAAGGAUCAUGAAUGAUAGUGCGAACAACAAGGAUCUCUUUACGGAAUACUUAUUACUUAUACAAGUAUUAAAGAA